UGCGGCUAAUAAACGACUACAC
rnacentral:siRNA from 1 species